rnacentral:rRNA from 1 species
AACGAACGCUGGCGGCAGGCUUAACACAUGCAAGUCGAACGCAUCCUUCGGGGUUAGUGGCAGACGGGUGAGUAACGCGUGGGAACGUGCCCUUCAGUCCGGGAUAACCCAGGGAAACUUGGGCUAAUACCGGAUACGUGCGAGAGCAGAAAGAUUUAUCGCUGAAGGAUCGGCCCGCUUCUGAUUAGCCAGUUGGUGGGGUAAUGGCCCACCAAGGCGACGAUCAGUAGCUGGUCUGAGAGGAUGAUCAGCCACAUUGGGACUGAGACACGGCCCAAACUCCUACGGGAGGCAGCAGUGGGGAAUAUUGGACAAUGGGCGCAAGCCUGAUCCAGCCAUGCCGCGUGAGUGAUGAAGGCCUUAGGGUUGUAAAGCUCUUUCGUCCGGGACGAUAAUGACGGUACCGGAAGAAGAAGCCCCGGCUAACUUCGUGCCUGCCGCCGCCGUAAGAC